UACGUAGGGGGCUAGCGUUGUCCGGAAUCAUUGGGCGUAAAGAGCUCGUAGGCGGCUUGUCGCGUCGAUUGUGAAAGCCCGGGGCUUAACUCCGGGUCUGCAGUCGAUACGGGCAGGCUAGAGUGUGGUAGGGGAGACUGGAAUUCCUGGUGUAGCGGUGAAAUGCGCAGAUAUCAGGAGGAACACCGGUGGCGAAGGCGGGUCUCUGGGCCGAUACUGACGCUGAGGAGCGAAAGCGUGGGGAGCGAACAGG
rnacentral:rRNA from 1 species